UACAGAGGGGGCAAGCGUUGUUCGGAAUUACUGGGCGUAAAGAGCUCGUAGGCGGUUUGUCGCGUCGAAUGUGAAAACCCGGGGCUCAACCCCGGGCCUGCAUUCGAUACGGGCAGACUAGAGUUCGGUAGGGGAGUCUGGAAUUCCUGGUGUAGCGGUGAAAUGCGCAGAUAUCAGGAGGAACACCGGUGGCGAAGGCGGGACUCUGGGCCGAUACUGACGCUGAGGAGCGAAAGCGUGGGGAGCAAACAGG
rnacentral:rRNA from 1 species